rnacentral:tRNA from 1 species
ACGCGUCUAGCUCAGUUGGCAAAGCGCUGGCCUUUUGAGCCAAUGGUCGUGGGUUCGAGCCCCGCGGGGGGUG